AAUCCAAUAUAAUGAAAUGUGUGAUGAUGUAAGUCUCUUAAAGGAAAUAUUAGUUUAAACUUUGAUACUUUAUGUACAUUUUCUUGCCAAUACAUGUGUACUUUUACUUAUUAUGCAUAUAUGUGUGAGUGUCCUUACAUCUGAAUACUUCCAUCUUUAGGCAGCAACAUGAACGUUCAUCCCACCUGCUGUUAUGUGUGUACAAUGACUACACUGUUGUUGCAUUUCCUUUCUCUGUCCACAGAUGGCAGCACAGUCACAUUUGCCUUUCAGGUAAGUUUUCAUCCAUUUCCUGUCACACUUCCUCCCAGCUGGAUGUUUCAGCAGCACCUGUGAGUUUACAGGUGAAACCACAGCAGAACUCUGCACCACUGCAGCACCACGCUGGAGCCUUACUGCAGCUGUUAGUUUGUAAGACUGCACGAACAAGGACCAACUUAAAGGUGCGUCAGUCCCACUCAGAGCUCGAUAACUUGGUGAUUGAACGCUGGAUUCACUCUUGAAGGAGUCCAGUGAAGUAUUUGUACACAGGAAUGUUGUAUUUUACAGUAGAAAUACUGAAGUCAUGAGUCAGUUUUCACUCAGUAGAAGAAAAUAUGAGCUGGCAACCAGACUACAUAACAUUUAAAAACACAUUUUAUUCAUUAAUCUAACUCUUUGUUUAUGUUUUCUCUCUAUGUUUUAGUCAAAAUCCAGAUUCAAAGUCUUCUCCACACUGUCAGGUUUGACUUCCUGCGAGCCCUGAGGUGUUGAACGUCUGCACAGUAGUCCAGGUUGAGCUUCUUGCAGAGCUCGGCCUUGUCUUGCGUUCCCAGGUACGCGUUCCUCUUGAAGGCCCUCUCCAUGCUGCUGAUCUGCUCCGCCGUG